GUGCUCCCUUCAGCAUCACAUAUACUAAAACUGGAACGAUACAGAGAUAUUAGCAUGGCCCCUGUGCAAGGAUGACACGUAAAUUUGUGAAGCAUUCCAUAUUUUU